GCCAUCUAAAAUUGUUUAUAUUAAGUAGCAAUUUAGAGUUGGCAACACACAAAUCAUAAUUUAAAUACACAUCCUCGAAAUUAAAGAGACGAACACUGCGUUACUUGAACAAAUGCAUGUCCAAACCUCGUCGCUUGCUUCAUUAAUGAAGUCCAUCUCGACAUAUCUUGUUGCCACCACCAUCGUACAAUGAUCAGCAGCACCAUCACCGCCGCCUUCGCCGCUCGGACGAAGCCCUCGCGUUCGAAGAACCAGUGGCGAACCGGCGUCCGAGAGCGGGCCUACCGCCGCCGCCUGCUUGAGGCCCUUCGCUCCGCCCGAGCCAGCCGGAGGGCGUCGGGCCCCCGCGCCGUCAAGGAGCGGUGGACUCCACUCUCGCCCUCACCGCCUGCGGCCAGUCCCGCUGGAGCCGCGCCAUCCAUCCUGCUCGGCCGCCGAGGCGGCAAGCUCUUUCUGAAGGCCGGUGGUAGGGUCCGCCGCCGAGGGGGAACAGGGUGAGAGAGCGACUACGGGCGCUUGGCUAGCUGGUGCCCGGGUGCCGGAAGCUGCCGGCGCAGAGCCUAUUGGAGGAGGCGGCGGUGGAGAUGCAGGUGAAGGCUAUGAACGAGCUCGUCGAUGUCCCGAGGGGUAGCUGCGGGAUGUAUACAUAAUGGUGGCUUUCUGCCGCUCCACUAAUUGGUCCCAAUAAAAGAAGUACAUAAAUCCAUAAGAGUUCAUACUAUGAUAUGUUGAUUUCAUGUUCUUGUUGUUAUUGGUGAUCAGGUAAACGUAAGAGUUGAUUGAUCACCCAAUGGCAGCUAAAAUAGAUUUUUAUUAUUUGUCUAUGACGGAAGAAAAGAUUAAUGAUCAACUUAAUCAAUCAUAGAGCUGAGGAAUCAUUAUUUU
rnacentral:lncRNA from 1 species